UACGUAGGGGGCUAGCGUUGUCCGGAAUCAUUGGGCGUAAAGCGCGUGUAGGCGGUCCGGUAAGUCCGCCGUGAAAGUCCAGGGCUCAACCCUGGAAUGCCGGUGGAAACUGUCGGGCUGGAGUCCGGAAGAGGCGAGUGGAAUUCCUGGUGUAGCGGUGGAAUGCGCAGAUAUCAGGAGGACCACCGAUGGCGAAGGCAGCUCCGCUGGGACGGUACUGACGCUGAGGCGCGAAAGCGUGGGGAGCAAACAGG
rnacentral:rRNA from 1 species